UACGUAGGGGGCUAGCGUUGUCCGGAAUCAUCGGGCGUAAAGAGCGUGUAGGCGGCCCGGUAAGUCCGCUGUGAAAGUCGGGGGCUCAACCCUCGAAUGCCGGUGGAUACUGUCGGGCUAGAGUGCGGAAGAGGCGAGUGGAAUUCCUGGUGUAGCGGUGAAAUGCGCAGAUAUCAGGAGGAACACCAAUUGCGAAGGCAGCUCGCUGGGACGUAACUGACGCUGAGACGCGAAAGCUAGGGGAGCAAACGGG
rnacentral:rRNA from 1 species